CGACUUAUAUUCUGUAGCAAGGUUAACCGAAUAGGGGAGCCGGAGGGAAACCGAGUCUUAAUUGGGCGUUAAGUUGCAGGGUAUAGACCCGAAACCCGGUGAUCUAGCCAUGGGCAGGUUGAAGGUUGGGUAACACUAACUGGAGGACCGAACCGACUAAUGUUGAAAAAUUAGCGGAUGACCUGUGGCUGGGGGUGAAAGGCCAAUCAAACCGGGAGAUAGCUGGUUCUCCCCGAAAGCUAUUUAGGUAGCGCCUCGUGAAUUCAUCUCCGGGGGUAGAGCACUGUUUCGGCUAGGGGGCCAUCCCGGCUUACCAACCCGAUGCAAACUGCGAAUACCGGAGAAUGUUAUCACGGGAGACACACGGCGGGUGCUAACGUCCGUCGUGAAGAGGGAAACAACCCAGACCGCCAGCUAAGGUCCCAAAGUCAUGGUUAAGUGGGAAACGAUGUGGGAAGGCCCAGACAGCCAGGAUGUUGGCUUAGAAGCAGCCAUCAUUUAAAGAAAGCGUAAUAGCUCACUGGUCGAGUCGGCCUGCGCGGAAGAUGUAACGGGGCUAAACCAUGCACCGAAGCUGCGGCAGCGACACUGUGUGUUGUUGGGUAGGGGAGCGUUCUGUAAGCCUGCGAAGGUGGCCUGUGAGGGUUGCUGGAGGUAUCAGAAGUGCGAAUGCUGACAUAAGUAACGAUAAAGCGGGUGAAAAGCCCGCUCGCCGGAAGACCAAGGGUUCCUGUCCAACGUUAAUCGGGGCAGGGUGAGUCGACCCCUAAGGCGAGGCCGAAAGGCGUAGUCGAUGGGAAACGGGUUAAUAUUCCCGUACUUGGUGUUACUGCGAAGGGGGGACGGAGAAGGCUAUGUUGGCCGGGCGACGGUUGUCCCGGUUUAAGCGUGUAGGUGUGUGUUCCAGGUAAAUCCGGUUCACUUUAACACUGAGGCGUGACGACGAGGCACUACGGUGCUGAAGCAACAAAUGCCCUGCUUCCAGGAAAAGCCUCUAAGCAUCAGGUAACAUCAAAUCGUACCCCAAACCGACACAGGUGGUCAGGUAGAGAAUACCAAGGCGCUUGAGAGAACUCGGGUGAAGGAACUAGGCAAAAUGGUGCCGUAACUUCGGGAGAAGGCACGCUGACACGUAGGUGAAGUGAUUUACUCAUGGAGCUGAAGUCAGUCGAAGAUACCAGCUGGCUGCAACUGUUUAUUAAAAACACAGCACUGUGCAAACACGAAAGUGGACGUAUACGGUGUGACGCCUGCCCGGUGCCGGAAGGUUAAUUGAUGGGGUCAGCGCAAGCGAAGCUCCUGAUCGAAGCCCCGGUAAACGGCGGCCGUAACUAUAACGGUCCUAAGGUAGCGAAAUUCCUUGUCGGGUAAGUUCCGACCUGCACGAAUGGCGUAAUGAUGGCCAGGCUGUCUCCACCCGAGACUCAGUGAAAUUGAACUCGCUGUGAAGAUGCAGUGUACCCGCGGCAAGACGGAAAGACCCCGUGAACCUUUACUAUAGCUUGACACUGAACAUUGAGCCUUGAUGUGUAGGAUAGGUGGGAGGCUUUGAAGUGUGGACGCCAGUCUGCAUGGAGCCGACCUUGAAAUACCACCCUUUAAUGUUUGAUGUUCUAACGUGGACCCGUUACCCGGGUUGCGGACAGUGUCUGGUGGGUAGUUUGACUGGGGCGGUCUCCUCCUAAAGAGUAACGGAGGAGCACGAAGGUUGGCUAAUCCUGGUCGGACAUCAGGAGGUUAGUGCAAUGGCAUAAGCCAGCUUGACUGCGAGCGUGACGGCGCGAGCAGGUGCGAAAGCAGGUCAUAGUGAUCCGGUGGUUCUGAAUGGAAGGGCCAUCGCUCAACGGAUAAAAGGUACUCCGGGGAUAACAGGCUGAUACCGCCCAAGAGUUCAUAUCGACGGCGGUGUUUGGCACCUCGAUGUCGGCUCAUCACAUCCUGGGGCUGAAGUAGGUCCCAAGGGUAUGGCUGUUCGCCAUUUAAAGUGGUACGCGAGCUGGGUUUAGAACGUCGUGAGACAGUUCGGUCCCUAUCUGCCGUGGGCGCUGGAGAACUGAGGGGGGCUGCUCCUAGUACGAGAGGACCGGAGUGGACGCAUCACUGGUGUUCGGGUUGUCAUGCCAAUGGCACUGCCCGGUAGCUAAAUGCGGAAGAGAUAAGUGCUGAAAGCAUCUAAGCACGAAACUUGCCCCGAG
rnacentral:rRNA from 1 species